UACGUAGGUGGCAAGCGUUGUCCGGAUUUACUGGGCGUAAAGGGCGUGCAGGCGGCCCGUUAAGUGCCUGGUGAAAGCUCCCGGCUCAACUGGGAGAGGUCUGUGUAUACUGGCGGGCUUGAGGGGGGUAGAGGAAAGUGGAAUUCCCGGUGUAGUGGUGAUAUGCGUAGAUAUCGGGAGGAACACCUGUGGCGAAGGCGGCUUUCUGGGCCCUACCUGACGCUGAGACGCGAAAGCGUGGGGAGCGAGCCGG
rnacentral:rRNA from 1 species